GACGGAGGGUGCUAGCGUUGUUCGGAAUCACUGGGCGUAAAGGGCGCGUAGGCGGCGUCGCAAGUCGGCUGUGAAAGCCCGGGGCUCAACUCCGGAGGUGCAGCCGAGACUGCGGUGCUCGAGGCCGGAAGAGGAGGGUGGAAUACCCAGUGUAGAGGUGAAAUUCGUAGAUAUUGGGUGGAACACCGGUGGCGAAAGCGGCUCUCUGGUCCGGACCUGACGCUGAUGAACGAAAGCGUGGGUAGCGAACAGG
rnacentral:rRNA from 1 species